GGCGAACGCUGGCGGCGUGCUUAACACAUGCCAGUCGAACGAAAAGAGGGAAAGAGCUUGCUCUUUCCGGAAUUGAGUGGCAAACGGGUGAGUAACACGUAAACAACCUGCCUUCAGGAUGGGGACAACAGACGGAAACGACUGCUAAUACCGAAUAAGUUCCAAGAGCCGCAUGGCCCAUGGAAGAAAAGGUGGCCUCUACCUGUAAGCUAUCGCCUGAAGAGGGGUUUGCGUCUGAUUAGCUGGUUGGAGGGGUAACGGCCCACCAAGGCGACGAUCAGUAGCCGGUCUGAGAGGAUGAACGGCCACACUGGAACUGAGACACGGUCCAGACUCCUACGGGAGGCAGCAGUGGGGAAUCUUCCGCAAUGGGCGAAAGCCUGACGGAGCAACGCCGCGUGAGUGAUGACGGCCUUCGGGUUGUAAAACUCUGUGAUCCGGGACGAAAAGGCAGAGUGCGAAGAACAAACUGCAUUGACGGUACCGGAAAAGCAAGCCACGGCUAACUACGUG
rnacentral:rRNA from 1 species